AUUGAACGCUGGCGGCAGGCCUAACACAUGCAAGUCGAGCGAGCUGCGGACGGGUGAGUAAUGUAUGGGGACUGCCCGAUAGAGGGGGAUCACUACUGGAAACGGUGUCUAAUACCGCAUCCUGUCGCAUAACCCAUAUGGGAUUAGCUAGUAGUGAAGGUAAUUGCUGACCUAGGCGACGAGCCCUAGCUGGUCUGAGAGGAUGAUCAGCCACACUGGGACUGAGACACGGCCCAGACUCCUACGGAGGCAGCAGUGGGGAAUAUUGCACAAUGGGCGCAAGCCUGAUGCAGCCAUGCCGCGUGUAUGAAGAAGGCCCUAGGGUUGUAAAGUACUUGCAGUCGGGAGGCGUUACCGACAGAAGAAGCACCGGCUAACUCCGUGCCAGCAGCCGCGGUAAUUC
rnacentral:rRNA from 1 species